UACAGCGGGUGCAAGCGUUAAUCGGAAUUACUGGGCGUAAAGCGUGCGUAGGUGGUUUUUUAAGUCAGGUGUGAAAUCCCUGGGCUCAACCUGGGAACUGCAUUUGAUACUGGAAAGCUAGAGUGUGGUAGAGGAUGGUGGAAUUCCCGGUGUAGCGGUGAAAUGCGUAGAUAUCGGGAGGAACAUCAGUGGCGAAGGCGGCCAUCUGGACCAACACUGACACUGAGGCACAAAAGCGUGGGGAGCAAACAGG
rnacentral:rRNA from 1 species